ACACCACCACGUCGCUGCCAGUUUUAUCCCUUUCGUCUUCGAUGGGUUCAGUUCCUGUGCUCGCUUCCUCGGCGCUGUCGCUCCUACUGUGGCCUCGGCUGUCCGUGCUUCUUCCUUUGAGUUUCGUUCGCCUAGUCCGCGCUACUGCUCUCUCCUCUGGUUUUCCUCACGCUCUUUGUUGUGCCUGCCGUCCUGUGUUGCCUCUACGUACUCGCCAUAUCUGUCUGUCGGCGGAUUCGCCGUCACCUUGCCUUGCCAUGGUGGGGGCUUUCCCCUGCCAUGGUGGACUAUCCUGCAGUCCUAUCUCAUCUUCUACUUCUGUUUUCAUUGUUCUGUUGGCUCUGUUCUUGGGGGUCUUUGUGCUCAUAUAAUGUGUCAUGUUUAUUUUAGGUUUGUUAGACUUCGUCUCCAUCUAACGGAUCUGAACGGCCUCCGCAUGUUUGCAUUGGUGGCGCUGCCAGGGAUUGACGGUGCCGUCGGCUUGCGGCACGGCGCCGCCUGUAGAUCUCGGCAGUGCCCAUUUUCGCACCUCGUGCUGCGUCAGCAGUGGUGGGGAACGCCCUUGCAGCAUCCGACGCUGCGUUGGGACUGGAGGGACCACACAUUGAGCCCAGCUCGGUCAGGUGUGGUCAUCUGUCCCAUGCCUACCCCCAGAUUAUGUCUUCGCACAGCUGAUUGGGGGUACUAGUACCUGCGCUACCUCCUAUAUGGAAAGACAGGCCUGUUCUAUAUCCCUCCCUUUCUCAUUCGGAGCAAAUUAUCCCUUACUGUCUGUAGAACCAUUUUUUCCCCUUGAUGCUUGGUGCAAAUAAUAGAAAACUUCCUUUGCUGGAUAGGUUGUCAUCAAAAAGAAAUUCUUAUAUAAGUUGGGAACAAAGGCCCAGGUUAUCUUGAAAGGGAAAUAUUUUUUUUUGCUUAUGUGGCUCACGAUGAAAUUGAUUUCUCAUAUAAUGGAAUGUAGGCUGAUGAUCUCCAGUGGUCUUUUUUUGAAAGGGAAAUAUUUUUUGCCCAUGUGGCUCAUAAUGAAAUUGAUUUCUCAUAUAAGUUGGUAAUAUAGGCUGAUGAUCUUCAGCGGUCCAGGCAUGUUCAUGUAUAUAUGUAUUGUUAUCUAUUUAUUUAUCAUGCUUCAUCAAUUCCUUGAGGUCAACAUAUUGCAACUUCCCCUUAGGGCUGGCAGUACACUUAGUGCUACUAAUUGUGCCUAACUAAAUGGUGCUAUUUUGUAUGUGUUACCAACUUGAAUUUUUUUUGUAAAGGGCGCUAUUCUCAGUGCAUGCCGUUGUGCCUAACUAAAGGAGAUCAAAUAAUGCCAUUUUGGGUUCAUUUCUGAAGGUUCCUAUUUGUAGCCCACAUCUAAUUUGUGCCAGUUACAAUACACUCUCGUGGCUUAAAGAAUGAAAGAAGCUGCCCACCCUUCAUAGGUUUUUGGGUUAAUGAGACAUCCUCCCAUGUGCUCAUGCUUGAUGGAUUCAGGUGCAACCUAUGUGUCGCUAAGAAGAAUGUAAAGGCGACGACGAUCAAGGAUGAGAAUCAGACCGAACCAUGAACAUUGGGUGAUAGUGAUGCCUAUAGCAUAGGCAACCAAACUCUUAAACCCACAGCUCUCUUCCGUGUAAAAUAUUUCGGACACACUGUCAGAUAUCUCUGAAUACUAUAUCUUACAAAAAUUAGCACCCAACUGUACAAUCAUGUUGUGUAAUGUAGCGACCCAGCAUCUUAUGAUGCUUUGGUAUGUUUAACGAGACUCAAACGUAUACCAAACCUAAGUACUACUAUGAUAUGUAGUCCUUUGUACAUAUAACCAUAUUGUCUACAUUAUCCUUCA